rnacentral:rRNA from 1 species
UAGUCCACGCCGUAAACGGUGCGCACUUGGUGUUGGAGGUAUUGACCCCUCCAGUGCCGGAGCUAACGCGUUAAGUGCGCCGCCUGGGGAGUACGGCCGCAAGGCUAAAACUCAAAGAAAUUGACGGGGGCCCGCACAAGCGGAGGAGCAUGUGGCUUAAUUCGAUGCAACGCGAAGAACCUUACCAGGGCUUGACAUGGCGACCCUUCGGGGGUGAGUGUGAAAGCAUUCUUUACGAUCACAGGUGCUGCAUGGCUGUCGUCAGUUCGUGCCGUGAGGUGUUUGGUUAAGUCCAGCAACGAACGCAACCCUUGUGUUUAGUUGCCACCGAUGGCUUUAGUCGUCGAGCACUCUAAACAGACUGCCUGUGCAAGCAGGAGGAAGGUGGGGAUGACGUCAAGUCAGUAUGGCCCUUACGCCCUGGGCUGCACACGUGCUACAAUGGCCGGUACAGAAGGAUGCAAUACCGCGAGGUGGAGCAAAUCCCCAAAACCGGCCCCAGUUCGGA